AGGAAGAGAAGUGUUUGUGAUUUUAAUUCUUGAAUUGGUUACUUGAAUUUUUUAAGGUUAAAAGCUUGUUGUGCGGUGCGCCUAUAUUGAUUUGAUAAUUGUGUCGCGAAGGAGGUCUAGAGCAGUAAGUUAGCUUUAUGGACCGCCUCAUGGAUUGUAUUUGCUUGUUGCUUGAAGGACUUGUAAUGCAAAC